rnacentral:ncRNA from 1 species
AUGGUUAUGAUGAAUAUUAAAUAAUCGGACAUAGUACGCUAAGGUUGUAUUGUCUAAAGGGAAACAGCCCAGAACAAGAGUUUAAGGUUCCAAAUUUAUUGUUAAGUGAAAUUAAGGAUGUUUCUGUAAAAAACGGCCAGGAAAUUGGCUUAGAAGCGGCCAUUUUUUGAAGAUCUCGUAAAAGAGCACUGGUUUAGUAUAUUUUAUACGUGAAUAGUAGCACCGAAGAUUUAACGGAUCUAAACAAUAUACCGACACCUUGUCCAUAAAAAGGAUGAGCUUGUAGACAGCUCGUAUUUUUAUGGGGUAGCAGAACGUUGGGUAAAUAACACGGUUUAUUGUUUUUAACAAUAAAUAUAAGAUAACCCAAGUGAUAAUGCUGACAUGAGUAACGAAAAAGGGGUUAUACCCUGCCUAAAGCUUAUGGUAUUUUAAAAUAAGUAACGGCCUCUAAGUUUACCAACCUAAAGGAUUAAACGAUGAGAAAAUCUUUUAGUUACUUAGUAACAACUUCCUUCUUAUGUAACCAAGUCACCUUGCGAGGGGUUUGCUUGGAAAUAUUAUUGCCAAGUACCGGCGGAAGGCGGGCAUAAGAAAAGUUGAGGGAGGUUCUGGAAAAACAGUGACAAACCUGCUUCCGGUAGUACGGAAGAAAGGGGGAAAACAAAACCGUACCUAAAUACCACCUCAGGUAAGCUAGUAGAGAAUACGAAGGCGUUUGAGUGAACAAUCAUUAAGGAACUCGGCAAACUAACUACCGUAACUUCGGAAUAAGGAGUGCCAUUCCUCUUCAUUAAUAUGAGGUAAAGAAUAGGAAGCAUGGAAUAGUGUUGUACGACUGUUUAAUUAAAACAAAGCACUUCGCAAUAAGAUAAUAAAUCAAAGUAUUGAGUGUGAAUUCUGCCCGAUGUCGGCCGGUUAACGGAUUUACUAAGUUGACUAAUAUAAGCUUGGUUUUGAAGGAAACCCCGAUCAAUGGCGGUCUUACCUAUGAGGAUCCUAAG